rnacentral:rRNA from 1 species
GACGAACGCUGGCGGCGUGCCUAAUACAUGCAAGUAGAACGCACAGGAUGCACCGUAGUUUACUACACCGUAUUCUGUGAGUUGCGAACGGGUGAGUAACGCGUAGGUAACCUGCCUGGUAGCGGGGGAUAACUAUUGGAAACGAUAGCUAAUACCGCAUAAGAACAUUUACUGCAUGGUAGAUGUUUAAAAGGUGCAAAUGCAUCACUACCAGAUGGACCUGCGUUGUAUUAGCUAGUAGGUGAGGUAACGGCUCACCUAGGCGACGAUACAUAGCCGACCUGAGAGGGUGAUCGGCCACACUGGGACUGAGACACGGCCCAGACUCCUACGGGAGGCAGCAGUAGGGAAUCUUCGGCAAUGGGGGGAACCCUGACCGAGUAACGCCGCGUGAGUGAAGAAGGUUUUCGGAUCGUAAAGCUCUGUUGUUAAGGAAGAACGAGUGUGAGAAUGGAAAGUUCAUACUGUGACG